UGUCUAUUAAGGUGUUUUCAAGGAGAGAAACAUUUCCAGAUUUGGAUUGAGUCGACUCGGUGAGUUCAGUGGAAAAACUCGUUAUACUUCGAAAGACCUUAACGACCAGGGACUAGAGGUAUCUUCUCAUUAAUUUUUAGGCUUAUUAUAACCUUAAUUACUUGAGUCCUUUACCAGGUUAUUAUCAAUGUAUCCGCAUCCAUGGUAAUGAAUCGACACUUGCAAUCCAAGUUUUAGGUUAAGCUUCUUAUAAUUUUUGUAUUGCGUCCUUGGGUUCUUUUUUUUUUUUUUUUUUUUUUUUUUUUUUUUAAUGAUGGGAUGUCAAAAUAAACGGGUCUUACACAGACUACAGAGCGAGAGCUAUGUUACUCUUGUCUCUUCAACUACAUUGAAUUAAAGAACCAUAACAAUCUUAUUAAAUUGGACUUAGAACUAAUUAACCCAUAGGUCAUUGGUCUUUGUACAUUACGAGAAUCUGUAUGAGAACAUUGCUUUUAUUGAAUUUGUUUUUAGGAUAGGUUGUGUUCCAUAAAAUGCUUCUAUCAAAAACUGAUUUUAUGCACACAUUGGAUUUUUCUGAUUAGAAUCCAUUGAAUCAUCGAGUUUCAAAAUCUGCAAGACUUGUGAUUUGAGCAACCAUAUCUUAACUAUGGAGAAAAGAGGAGGAAAUAUGGUCCCAAGCUCACCCUCACACACCCCAAGGUCCAGUGAC
rnacentral:lncRNA from 1 species